rnacentral:rRNA from 1 species
GACGAACGCUGGCGGCGUGCUUAACACAUGCAAGUCGAACGGAAAGGCCCUGCUUUUGUGGGGUGCUCGAGUGGCGAACGGGUGAGUAACACGUGAGUAACCUGCCCUUGACUUUGGGAUAACUUCAGGAAACUGGGGCUAAUACCGGAUAGGAGCUCCUGCUGCAUGGUGGGGGUUGGAAAGUUUCGGCGGUUGGGGAUGGACUCGCGGCUUAUCAGCUUGUUGGUGGGGUAGUGGCUUACCAAGGCUUUGACGGGUAGCCGGCCUGAGAGGGUGACCGGCCACAUUGGGCCUGAGAUAGGGCCCAGACGCCUACGGGAGGCAGCGGUGGGAAAUAUUGCACAAUGGGCGGAAGCCUGAUGCAGCAACGCCGCGUGCGGGAUGACGGCCUUCGGGUUGUAAACCGCUUUCGCCUGUGACGAAGCGUGAGUGACGGUAAUGGGUAAAGAAGCACCGGCUAACUACGUG